rnacentral:rRNA from 1 species
AGAGGUGGCAAGCGUUGUUCGGAAUUACUGGGCGUAAAGGGCGCGUAGGCGGCCCUCUUAGUCGGACGUGAAAUCCCCAGGCUCAACUUGGGAACUGCGUCCGAUACUGGAGGGCUUGAGUGCGGGAGAGGGAUGUGGAAUUCCAGGUGUAGCGGUGAAAUGCGUAGAUAUCUGGAGGAACACCGGUGGCGAAGGCGGCAUCCUGGACCGACACUGACGCUGAUGCGCGAAAGCUAGGGGAGCAAACGGGAUUAGAUACCCCGGUAGUCCUAGCCCUAAACGAUGAGUGCUUGGUGUGGCGGGUAUCGAUCCCUGCCGUGCCGAAGCUAACGCAUUAAGCACUCCGCCUGGGGAGUACGGUCGCAAGGCUGAA